rnacentral:rRNA from 1 species
GACGUAGGGCGCGAGCGUUGUCCGGAUUUAUUGGGCGUAAAGAGCUCGUAGGCGGCUUGUCGCGUCGACUGUGAAAACCCGGGGCUCAACUCCGGCGUGCACUCGAUACGGGCGGACUAGAGUUCGGUAGGGGAGACUGGAAUUCCUGGUGUAGCGGUGAAAUGCGCAGAUAUCAGGAGGAACACCGGUGGCGAAGGCGGGUCUCUGGGCCGAUACUGACGCUGAGGAGCGAAAGCGUGGGGAGCGAACAGG